UUGACUGAAUACAUAGGUCUUCAAGAGCAAACCCGGGGAACUGAAACAUCUAAGUACCCGGAGGAAAGGACAGCAAUAGCUACUCCCCUAGUAGUGGCGAGCGAACGGGGACCAGCCGAGCCUUGAGAGUGACUGGAACAGUCUGGAAAGACUGGCCAUAGCGGGUGACAGCCCCGUACAGGAAGCUCGAUAGGACGUAUUAAGUAGGGCGGGACACGUGAAAUCCUGUCUGAAGAUCGGAGGACCACCUUCGAAGGCUAAGUACUCCUUACUGACCGAUAGUGAACCAGUACCGUGAGGGAAAGGUGAAAAGCACCCCGACUAGGGGAGUGAAACAGUACCUGAAACCGAACGCCUACAAUCAGUCGGAGCCCCCUUGCGGGGUGACGGCGUACCUUUUGUAUAAUG
rnacentral:rRNA from 1 species